UUAAGCCAUGCGAGUCGAACGAGUUUAGGCUCGUGGCGUACGGCUCAGUAACACGUGGAUAACCUACCCUUAGGACCGGGAUAACCCUGGGAAACUGGGGAUAAUACUGGAUAGGCAAUUUUUCCUGUAAUGGUUUUUUGUUUAAAUGUUUUUUCGCCUAAGGAUGGGUCUGCGGCCGAUUAGGUAGUUGGUUAGGUAAUGGCUUACCAAGCCGUUGAUCGGUACGGGUUGUGAGAGCAAGAGCCCGGAGAUGGAACCUGAGACAAGGUUCCAGGCCCUACGGGGUGCAGCAGGCGCGAAACCUCCGCAAUGUGAGAAAUCGCGACGGGGGGAUCCCAAGUGCCAUUCUUAACGGGAUGGCUUUUCUUAAGUGUAAAAAGCUUUUGGAAUAAGGGCUGGGCAAGACCGGUGCCAGCCGCCGCGGUAACACCGGCAGCUCUAGUGGUAGCCAUUUUUAUUGGGCCUAAAGCGUCCGUAGCCGGUUUAAUAAGUCUCUGGUGAAAUCCUGUAGCUUAACUGUGGGAAUUGCUGGAGAUACUAUUAGACUUGAGACCGGGAGAGGUUAGAGGUACUCCCAGGGUAGAGGUGAAAUUCUGUAAUCCUGGGAGGACCGCCUGUUGCGAAGGCGUCUAACUGGAACGGUUCUGACGGUGAGGGACGAAAGUUAGGGGCGCGAACCGGAUUAGAUACCCGGGUAGUCCUAACUGUAAACGAUGCGGACUUGGUGUUGGGGUGGCUUUGAGCUGCUCCAGUGCCGAAGGGAAGCUGUUAAGUCCGCCGCCUGGGAAGUACGGUCGCAAGACUGAAACUUAAAGGAAUUGGCGGGGGAGCACCACAACGCGUGGAGCCUGCGGUUUAAUUGGAUUCAACGCCGGACAUCUCACCAGAGGCGACAGCUGUAUGAUAGCCAGGUUGAUGACUUUGCUUGACUAGCUGAGAGGAGGUGCAUGGCCA
rnacentral:rRNA from 1 species